rnacentral:lncRNA from 1 species
GACGUGGCAUGAUUAUGAUUUCUCCCUUUAUUGCAGUCUCGAAAUCCAACUCUUCCAGUUCUUUCAUAAGACUAAAUGCGAGCUGUUUCAAUUUGGGAAAGGCAAUAACUGAGGAGCCAUCCGUAUCACUUUCUACUCCCAGAAAUUCAUUACCCACUCUUUUCACACUUUUCAUUCCUUCAAUAUGAAGAGAUUCAAGGGAUGGCAAUUUUCCCAAAGGAGGCAAAUGCUCACAAUUUCUCCACCAGCAGAGAUAUAAGACCCUUAAAUUGGUUAAUGACGUGAUCCAAUUUUUGGGGACAACAUUCCUCCUGCCUCUGUAUUCAUCUAUCACUAAUUUCUUUAAAUUAGGAGGUGGUCCCAAGGCUUCAAGAAGCCGUUCAUCUUCAUCCUCCUCAUUCUCCCUCCUCCCAGCUUGAUCUUCAUCCCCAUCUCUUAAAUGAUCAAAAUGAAGUCCCAACUCAACGAGAUAUUUCUUUUUCUCAAGUUCAGCCCUCGCAGCCUCACCCGCAUCUGACACACCACCCAGCCCACGUAUACCACAUUGUUGAAGGAAGUUAAGCUUUUUAAGAGACCCAAGGCUACAUGCUCUGUCAUACCCUCCGCCCACAACAAACUCUCUCACUCUCCGAAGCCUGAUUAAUUCCCCAAUCCCUGCCGGCAAGUAUCUUAAACAACCAGUGUCUUCAUUGUGUAAAUACAUCAGCUUUCUUAACUUUCCAAUCCCUCGAGGUAAUUCUCUAAGAUUUUGACAAUCAUCAACGUUUAAACGUUCUAAAUUAUAUAACUCACACAACGUCUCGGGUAAUUUUUCUAUCUUCUUUUGACCUUUCAAAUUAAGGUAUUUCAAAUGUAACAAUUUUUCUAUAUUUGUUGGAAUUUCCUUGAUUAAAUUGUUACGCGGCCACGAUUCACGCACCUGUAAUUCUAAUGCCCUUAAACAAGUUAAUUUUUCAAAUAAUUGAGGUAGAACUUCACUAGACCAUGAAUAUUCAUCACUUUUAACUAAGAGGCUCCGCAAUCCUCGCAAUCCUGUAACAUUACCCCAAAUGGAAAUCGGAACCGAAGCCCCCCUACGUAGAGUUAACAGUAAAUGAAGGAUUUUUUUCUCCACGAAAGAGCUAAUAGCUAACUCUUCACCACUAUGAAUUUCUACUGCUAAACAUUCAUUACUACAUAAAUAUUGGGCAAAGUCGUGCACUAUAUCAUGCAUUUUGCACUUAUAGAUUUCACCAUCAUCAUAUUUGUUAAAAUCCUGAAAGAAUGAACGGCUAGCUAAGAUGUUGAAAUACUCUUCACCAAUAUCCUCCAUCUCUUUGGCUCCUUUCUCACUAAGAUAACCUUGUGCCAUCCAUAGUUCAAUUAACUUAUGCUUCCGUAUUCCAUAGUCUUUCGGAAAGACGGCACAAUAUGAGAAACAACGCUUUACCUUGGAGGGUAAUUCAUUGUAACUCAACAAUAGAGGGGCUAAAAGGCCUUUCUCAAUUGCUUCUAGUUCCCAUAUCUCAUUCUCUAAGAUAUUUUGCCAUUCUUUUUCAGUGUUUUUAGACCGCAAGAGACUAGCAAUUGUCUUUGCAGCUAAAGGUAAGCCCUUGCACUUUUUUACAAUUUCUCUACCAAUUUUUUCUAAAUUUUCACGUUUUCCUAUGGUCUUACCAGAAAUUGCCAACGACUGAAACACCGACCAGCAUUCCAUUUCAGACAAUACAUUGACAGAGAUAACAUGAGUUGAUCCCAUAAUACAGGCAACUGUUUCUUUACGUGUGGUAAUUAAAAUUUUACUUUCAUGGAGACUAUUCUUUAAACAUUUGUAGAAUGGUUCCCACUUAUAGUAAUCUUCAUUCCACACGUCGUCUAAGACAAGAAGAAAUUUCUUCCCGGCAACACAUUCUUCAAUAUGUUGCAUGAGAGAUUGAAACUCUACAAGGUCUUUGGCAGAACCUGGCUUCAGAGACUCAAUGAUUGCUCUGGCGAUCCUGAAUUCAUCAAAUGGCUCUGACACACAGACCCAUGUUCUUUUCUCAAAAUUUCUUUCAACAUCACCGUUGUUGUAGGCAAAUUGAGCAAGAGUAGUUUUGCCUAUUCCCCCCAUCCCAACAAGUGAGAUGAUAGAGGGGCCUUCCUGUUCUUUACUACCCUCACAUAACAACCUAUCAACGAGUUCGUUCUUCUCUUUUUCUCUACCAAAUAUCUCGGACUCAUCAAUUGAGGAGAUACUUGGUACUCGUUGAUCCGCUCUCUCAUUAGUAACAUUCACAACAAAACCAAACAUGUCUUUCUGUUUGGCAAUAUCAUCAAGAGUUUCGUUGAUUUCUUUUAUCUUCAGAGCAAUGUCACGACGUAAGACAAGUGGUUUGCAGGCAAAGCAAGAUGCAGUAGGAAAGAAGGAACAUACCUUCUUCUUAGGCACUCCGUCGAUCUGCAGUUUGAGCCUUGCAGUGUUCCACUCACCCAACACGUCUUCCAUGUCGUAACAUGUGCAUCUGAGUUGAUCGAGCCAGAGUCUGACAGUUUCCUCCUUCACUUGCCUUUUCUCUGCAUCAUGGAGCACAGCUUCAAUGACGCGGAGACUGCUGGUCAGCUUCUUCACUUCCUUUCCGACACCCGUUACUAGCCUCACUUGUUCCUUCGCCUCUUCAACAGCCAUUGAAGUCAGCUGCUCCAAGAUAGGGGAAAGGAUCGCAUCAACCAUGGUGAAAAAGAAAAAAGAGAGAGAGAAGAAAUUGAUGGUGAAUUGUUGCAAAUGUAAGUAGCUAAUGCUGAAAGAAAUGAAGGAGCUGAUAAUGUGGUGAAAAUGUUGCCGUAUUCUUUCAAUUCUUAUAGUACUGCAAGCAAAAUUCUAAUUUAGAAAUAUUUCAUUUCAGCCCCUUGUGAAAGAAGCUACGGUUAUUAUUAUUACUUUUUUUUUUUUAAUAACAGCAAAGAGUGAAAAUGACGUACAGUUGUGGACAGGAAAUAAUAUAUAUGAAACUGACAAAUUUUUCACGCGGCGAUUCACGCGGUAUAUGAAACAGACAAAGUUUUCUAUGAUCUCUUUUUAAAGAAUUGAACAAGUUGUUAGAUAAUAUUUUUGAUCGUGUCGUCAUAUUGAGAUUUGGAAGCAUUUGCUUUACAAUCACCCAUGAACUUUAUAUUUUUUAGAUUGUUUGAUCUGAAUUAUAAGUGUUUUAUUAGCUUAGAAAUACCUUGACCAUCUCUUUCUUAUUUUCUUCUUCUUCUUUUUUUUUUUUUUUUUAAUUUGACUCGUUUGCAUAAUUAGUUGAAAGGAAAGAAUGAACAUACUAAUAAACUAGGAAAACGCUGCCACAUAAUAUUCUAAGAUUCAUAUCGAACCACUUUAUUUAGAUUUUUUCAUUUUAGCAUAUGUCUGAUAGUGGGAGUUUAGAGUUUAAUCUCUAACUUUGCUUGUGAAGUGGGAAAAAUCAAAUAAUCUUUUCAACUCGUUUUUCAACAAAAAUAGAUCACAAUUCAUCAUCAGUUAUUUCUCAUUAUGUAUAAAAUGAUCAAUCUGGAGCUGGAUAUUCACAUAUUUUUCUAUUUCUAAUCAUCUCAAAAUAUAUAAUAUGAACUUUUAAAAAAAAAAUCAAAUUGUAAUAAAGUGACAUAAAUAUUAAAAAAUAAAAAGAAAAAGUCAAAAAUGUAAUGCGGAAAAAAGACAAAACCUUUUUGUUUGUUCUAUUCAUGGCAUCAUCUAAAUAUGAGAAAUGAUGGGUUGAUUGUCAUUGUGAACAACCAUAUAAUUGCAAGACGUGAAUACCAUCAACGUUAUAAUAAUUCAUGGACCCAUGCAUCCUCUGUUUUUCUAAUUAUUCCGUGUAGAAGGCUAAAGUUUAACGUGUGAUUCUCAAAUUCAUUGUCAAGUGAUUUGAACGUUUUAACGGACAGCGCUUACUUUUCUUUUUGAAGGAGCACAAUAACAACUUGAAGAUUCCUGGAAGUUGCCUGCAGUUCAAAUAUUUUCUUCAGACGAAAACCGUCAAUAAUUUCCAAACUUAGAAGAUAUUUAUAAUUUUCCCAUAACCCACCAAAAACUUUUUCAUUUAGUGUAACCUUGUAAUUUUCUUAGAUGAUACUUAAAACUGCUAAUAUCUUCUAAUUAUUGUUUUAAAAAUCUAAAUAAUUGCAUGCCCAAUUAACGGAUCAGUAGUCUCAGUUCGACAUAUUUAUUUAAAAAAAAAAAAGAAAUACACAGUUGUUUGAUGACUCUGGAAUUGAACAUCAGGAAAUAAAGAGAAAAAAUAACACACUUUAUGACGAUCAUUGCGGAUGACAUAACAGAUGUCAGUAUUUAUUGCCAAUUAAUUGGCAUUCUUAUUAUCAAGUAAUUGUUUUAGACUCGAAUUCAAAAGCUCUGCUCUGCUCUGCCCUUCGGUAAUCCGCCUGUUCAAAAAAUAAUAUUGUUUUAAAAAUCUCAGUAACAACAUGCCCAAUCGAUCACACAACGACUUUGUUGAAAUUGAAACAUUAUUGGGAAAUUAAUGAAGAGUAGAGAGCAAUUAGAGAGCUUAAUUAAGCUAAACAAUUUGAUUAUUAACUGUCUAGUCUCUCUUGCACCAUUCCAGUUAUCCUCUGAUCGAUCACACAAUCUAAUGCAUAAUCAAUUCUUUAGCGUGCGGCUUUAAACACAGCUGUUAUAAACUUGGUCAGCUUAACAAAUAUAACGUAACAUAUGAUAUUAUUAAAAUAUUCAAUUAUUCUCUUGGAAAGAAGUAAAUUCACUCAAAUUUAAAAAAGGUUGAUAAAGAUAAAAAUAUUUUAUAUUUUAUUACCUAAUAAUAUUAUAAUCUUAAGAUGCAAUUGGCAUUGUUUUUGUUUUGGUGUUCUUUGUUUUUUUAACGAUGAAGCAAUCUAAAAUUUGUUUGGAUAACUUGUUUUUAAAUGGUAUUUAAUUCUAAUAGAGAAUGAUUUGUUCUAAUUUUCCAACAGAAGAAAAGUGGAGAAUAGAAAAAUGAUGUUUUUUUAAUUUUUAUUCUCUAAAUGAAUCCCACAGUCCUACUUGCACAAUAAGAAAAUAAAAAACCUAUUUAUUUUACAAUACAAUUUUUCUUAUUUGUUUAAUCGUUUGAAUUUUUUUCUACGAUGGUAAUGUAUUAUUUUAGUAAUUUUUAAAGAACUUUAAUAUUCUCUAAAAAUAUAUAUUUUACCUCAUGUUUAUAAAAUAAAAAAUUUACCAAAAAAAACAUAAUGGUUAAAAAAAAAUCUAAUUUGUUAAGAGUUUUUUCAUUAUGAUAUUUUUUUUCACUCUCAUUCAAUGUCUUUACUUUUUCAAACAAAAAAUCAACAAUAUUUUUGUUUUUUCAUAUCUAAACACUAUUUUAGAAACAAUCAACUAAACAUAUUCUUAUUUUCACUUGAAAACUAAUUACUUCUAAUUUAUAAAAUAAAAAUAAAAAUAUCAUGUGAAAAAUAAUACCGAGCACACUCUUAAUAUUUAAGCUUUACAUAAAUUAAAAUAUUAUGUGUCACUCAUUUAUUAAAUAAUAAAAUUAAAUUAUUUAUUAUUUAAUUUUUUACUUUUCUAUUCUUUCAAAAUUCUAACAUAAAUAAUCAAUUAAAGAAAUAUCUUUUAAAGGGAGCUGGUAAGUAAUUUACAACCCUUCAAAGUUAUGUGAACAGAAAUAAUAAGUGGCGGGAUCUACAUGAAUUUUGGUGGAACUGUAAAUUACUUAACAAAAUCCUAUUUUAAAAUGAUUGUGCCAUGUCUUUAUCAUUGCCAACCCGGGCCUUAUCCGAGUUGAAGCUUUAUCAUUGGCAUGUAUUUUCACUAUUCAUAUAUGUAGUGGCAGACAUCGGUGGCCAAUUAAGGAAUGAGCACAACUACUCCACCAAUUAAAUCUUGACGCGUGUGCUUUUAUUUCCAAUUAUUCUACUGUCUUUUUCUAAUUACUUUAUCGCAGAAGUAAUUAAUUCUGAAAGAAAUGAAGGAGCUAAUAAUGUCGUGCAAAUUCUUCCAAUUCUUAUGCUGCAAGCAAAAUUCCAAUUUACAAAUAUUUCAUCUCAAAAAAGAAGUUAUUGUUAUUAUCUUUCUUUUUUUCUUUUUAAUUUUUUGAAUUCACGCGGUGCAUGAACUUGACAAAGUUGUUUUUUAAUAAUUUAAUGAUUUGAUAACUGCCUCCUCGUAUCCAAAUCGGUAACAGAAUUCAAUUAUUAUUAAUUGGUAAAAAGAUUCUUUUUACCCAUUAUUAUUAAUCGGUUGCAGAUGAUUUACUGAAAUUACCGUUACGUUUUGACUGUGAAGUUUGAAAAAUCAAAUAAUCUUUAUUAUUAGUUUUGCAAUAAUAAUAAACAACAAAUCAUUGUUAAUUAUUUCUUAUUUAUUAUGUAUAAAUUGAUCUAUCCAGAGUUGGAUAUUUAUAUAUUCUUCUAUAUCUUAAUCAUUUUGAAAUUUAAUAGAAAUUAAAAAAAAUCAAUUUGUAAUAACGUGUCAUAGAUAUUAAAAAAUGCAAAUGGAAAGUCAAAAUUGUAAUGCUCAAAAAAGACAAAACUUUUUUUUCUUUUUUCUUUUUCACGGCAUACAAAAACAAAAAUUUAAAAAUUUAAAAUGGAAAGUCUCGUUUAUUUAUUAUUAUUAUUUUUUUUAAAAGAGCUCCCCUUAAUUAUUCUACCGUCAUUUUGCUUUCACUAUUCAUAGUGGGAGGGAGACAUUGGUGGCCAAGGGAUGAAACUGAAAGUAAAAGUUAAACGAGACUCCUGUGCGUUUCCGAUUGCUCUGCUGAAAAGCCGUAGAUUAUGAGCUGGCAAGGGGUUUGGUGGCCGUAGCCUUUAGUUGGCUUAGGGAGAUAUAGUUCGUGGUUUAAAAGUUAUUCCAUGCAUACUAGUUUAACAAAAAAUUUAUAACAAUUUUUAUUUAAAUUAUUAUUUGAAAGUAAUGUUAUCAAACACUAUCGAUUCUUAAUUUUAAAAUUAUAAAUUUUUUAUUUCACAACUUGUGCAGCUUAUAAUUAUUGGCUAUAAAAUUCAAAACGGAGCCUAAAUCUAGAAGGUGCAAAUGCCGCCAAAAUUUUUAAAUUUUAGAUGGUAGCUUAAUUUGGUUGUGAUUAUUUGAUUAUUUUAUGGUGAUCUUGUGUAAUGAGCUGUUAUAUAAGACUUCAUUUGGAAGGAAACGAACAGCUGCGACGUACUAUUUAAUGUAAUGAGAUUCAUUUAAUCACAGAUACACGAGACUUAAGUGUUUAUUAUAUGCAGAGAUAUUUUGGAUUUUAAGUUAUAGAUUGUAGUAAAAUAAAAGCUGUAACCACUAAGAAAAAAAUUUAUGCGAAUUGGGUAAACUUUCACUUAUAAGUAUUCUAAGGUAAGCUUAACAUACUUCUGAAGUAAUUAAUAAUUUUUACUGUAAAAGUAAAAGUUAAAAAAAAAUUGACAUGCCUUGAAAAUCUAUAUGUAACAUUAUAUCCAAAUAAUGAUCAAGCAUAAACCAAGAAAUUCAAAAAUGGGCGAGUUCUGAUGGCAAUUGCAUUCGUUGUGAGAAUGAGUGAUACUAUUGGCACCCCUCUAAAAACUCCUCUAAAAACUUCUUAAAACCUCCUUUCUUUAUUUACUCUACUAAAAUUCUUCAAAUUAAUAUAAAUGUCUAUAAUACCUCCCUUAGCGACAAAUAUAUCCUUAAAUGAAAUAACUUAUCCUAGUAUUUCAAUUCUUUCUUAUUGAUCAUAGCCAGUAUUCCAUUCUGUGUCAUAUUGCUCAAAUCCAUUAUUGAAAGACCAUUCUCUGGGAUUGUAAUCUAUUUCAAUUCUGUGUCAAUUGGGUCUGGUCUUGUCCGUCAUUAGAUUCAAUUGUCAAAAUGCAGCAAAUCUGAUUAUGAAGGAAGAAGACGGCAGAAAGGAAAUAGGAUGGGUUAUUAACCAGAUCGGGAUUUUUUUUUUUUUUUUUUUUGGGUUCCCUUCUUACUAAUAUGUUUUGGUUAAAAAGCCUUUUAAUUUUUCAAUUUAUGAUUUUUAUUCCCAAUUAUUUUCAGCACAUAAGCAGAUCAUUCAAAUUGUUUGACUAGUAUGCCCUUGGUUAUUUUUAGCAUAAUUCCAUUGACUUUGUAAUUGAACACCAGAAUACGAAGUUUAGAGAACAAUGGGAAAACGUAAUUAACUAACCAAUUUGAUUCCUCUACACCAGCUGCUCCCACCUGAAUGACUACAAAGUAAGCAACCCAAACUUAUCGUAUCUGUUAGGAUUAAUCCAAGCCAUAUACACUUGUCACAUGCUAGAAACAUGAUGUUACCAAUCUUCUCACCUUUGGCAUUCAAACCUUGCUCUAGAACAAUUACCGCGGCCGGUCCUAUUGAAGGCAAAAAAUUUGAGCUUUGAAGCAGCCUCUCUUACCAACCUAGUUCCAAAAGAAUUUUUGGACAUGCCUUGAAAAUCUGUAUCAUCAUAUCCAGCUAAUGCUCGAGUAUAUCAAGUAUUCAAAAAUGGGCCGGGCGUAAAAAAAUUCUACAACGUUCAAUUUAAUGGGUCCGUACAUGCUUAGUACCCACUGACACACACUCUGUAGAGUGAUCAAGACCAACAUUCAAUCCACAAUCACAUAAACCUGUGCUCGUGUCUGCAAAAUGGUUAUAUGGUUAAACCAAUAUAAAUUUUGUUUCUACUUCUUAAUUGGAUUACUAAUAACGAACGUGUAAAACGGAGCAGCGGAAGAAAUUAAUAACAGGCUUUUUGAGAAUUCCUCAAGGGCCUCCUUUGACAUACUUCCCAAUAAUCUUGACGUUGGGAAUGUGGGAUAUCUUCGGCCGAUCCUCUCCUGUCUCCUCCUUAUGCUCUUCUAAAAUAGGACAUCUCCCAUCUUGCCUCCGCUAUUGAUAUGAGUCACCUCUUAAUUUCAAUUAAUAAGAUUACCCAAUUCACAGUAAGCGACUCAAACACCUAUCGUAACUGUUAAGGUCAAUCCGAGGCGUAUGGAUUUGUAGACAUGUUAAAACCUUCAGCAAACAACAAUCAAUCCUUGAUCGAAAACAGCAGAGGUAGUUGGUAGGUCUAUAUUUCUCACAGCUUUGGCCUCAUCACGAUCUAGCACUUUUACAGUAGUGCAAUGAGCAAGCCUGGCACACUGCAUCCGCUGAGAUUAAUUUUUACACUUGCCCUGGAACCUGUCACAUUGUGUCGUAAUAACCAGCAACUAUUCAAAGGCGUGGAAUGUUAAUACUAUAAUGUACGCUAAUAUACCUUGUUCAUAUUUCACGUAUCUUAGGCCAGUCCACUCCUGUCUCCUGUCCAUAACGUUCUUUUAAAAUAGGACAGCUCCCAAUCUUCAACUCCUGCAGUGCUGUCUUCUGAAGAUGGUGAUCGGGCAGCGUUUUUAAUUUAGGGCACAUAUCAAUUUCCAAGGAAGAGAGACAUGGCAUGAUUAUGAUUUCUCCCAUUAUUGCAGUCCCGUAAUCCCAUCUUCCAGUUCAGGCAUACUCUUAGAUCAUGAGCUCUUUCAUCAAAUUGCCCAAUGGCAUGAUCCAAUUUUUGGGGACAACGUUUCUCCUGCCUCUGUGUUCAUAUAUCCGUAAUCAUCCUCUUCAUGAUUCUCCCAUCUCCCUUCUUCAAAAUGAAGUUGCAAAUUAAAGAGUUUUUUCAUUUUAUGAAUCCUAAACCGUAUCUGUCGCAUCACCAGGCACGUAUAUACGACAUUCUCGAAGGAGGUUAAGCUUUUUAAGAGACUCAAAGCUACAUACUUUGCUACCUCCACCUCUGCCUCCACCCACUACAAACUUUUGAUUUCAACUGAUAAGAUUUCCCAACAUUUAUGCUCUGCUCUGCCCUCACGUAAUUCCUCUGCUAAAAGAUUAUUGUUUAAAAAAUCUCAGUUGCAUGCCCAAAAAAUCAAUCUCAGUUAAUAAACAUACGGAAAAGAAAAUUCAAAGCGGUUUUAUGAUAUUGUAAUUGAACAUCAAGAAAUGAAGAGAAUAAGUAGCACACUCAUGACCAUCAUAGCAGAUGAUAUCGUAGAUAAGUAUUUUGUAGCAAACUUAAUAAUACAUUUAUCAAAUAAUUAGCAAUUUCUAAAUUAAUAUGUAAUGCUUGAAGUAAUUAGAUAUCUAAUCUGUAAAUUCUACUUCUUAGUUUCAUUCACAAGCUUUUAUUUCUUGGUAUCUAACUUGCGGAUGAAGCCAAAGCUGAAGAACUGAAAUUGAGAGAUACAAGUAAAAAUAUAAAAAAUUAAAUAAAAUUGUUUAAUGAGCUAGAAUUAUACAAGUAUUUUACUGAAAAUUUAACAUACUUAUCAAGUAUUUUACUGAAAAUUUAACAUACUUAUCAAGUAUUUUAGUAAUUUGUACUCUGAAAAGUAAAGUAAUUUGAUAUCUAAUCUGUAAAUUCAAGAUAUCAAAACUCCUGACAAUUACAUAAAACUUUUUCUACUUCUUAGUUAGAUUCCAGCUCUUCUUAUACUGAGAUUACCAAAAGUAUUAUAGCAGACGAACCCAAACCAAAUGCCUAGUUUCCACUAUCAAGCUUGAAAAACUAACUAAAAUUGAACAGUAGAACAAAUUACCUAGGGGUGAUGGUAUAUGGACUAUGGAGCCGCAUGAGAAAUCCUGAAAGACUCUCUCUUGAUCCCUCGAAAGUUAUGAAUUAAUGCUGCGUUUACUUUUUGGAUUGGAGUGGGAAUCCUGAGGAGUGAGAAUCCUUGGAUUAGGAGUGUGGAGUGGGAGUGGGAGUAGGGUGUUUACUUAAACUAAAUGAAAGUAUGGAUUGUCAAUUAGAAUCCCAAUUAUUUGUUUACUUUGUCUUGGAUUGAGAGUAAAUUAUUUUAAAUUACAAUUUUAUCCUUAUGUAAAGAAUUAUAAUUUGUAAUUAAAAAAUUAAUAAAAAAUAUAUUUGGAAAAUAAAAUAAAUAUUUUAUUAUAUUUAUAAAUUAAUAAUAAUUACUAAUAUUCUUAAUUAUGUAAAUCAUAAUUUUUAUUAAUUUUAAUUUAAAUUAUGUGAAUAAAAAUUAUUAAUAAUAGUAACACAAAUGAAAUAUUAUUAUUGAUAAUAUAGUACAAAAUUAAUAUUUUUUAGAAUAAAAUAUUUAUUAUUAUUAAUUAAAUAAAUAAUUAAUAUUUAUUAAAAUUAAUGUUAAUAUUAUUAAUUUAAAUAUAAUAUUUAUUUAUUUUUAUUUUAUUAAAUUUAAUAAAAUAAAUAUGAUAUAAUUAUUAUUUUUAAUAAAUAUGAUAUUAUUUAUUUUAUGAAAUAUUAUUUAUUUUAUUAAAUAUUAUUUAUUUAUUUUAUUAAAUAUUAUUUAUUUAUUUUAAUUUUAUAAUGAUAAAAUGGGAAGAGGGGGGAGUGGAUUCCCACUCCCACCUCCCCCAAUGGGAGUGGGAAUCCCACUCCCCACUCUAAAUUUGGGUGGGACCCACGGAUUCCCACUCUCACUCUCCCCAUUUUUAAGGUAAGUAAACACUGGAGUGGGAGGAAUCCACACUCCACACUCCACACUCCCACUCCAGAAAGUAAACACUACCUAAGAUGCUAGGCCGGUUUGCUUGCUUGGGCGGACUCAACUAAGCCCCUUUUGGGCCCUUUUUUUUUUUUUUUUUAAAUAUAUCCCAAGUCCCUUCUAAAAAAAUUAAUUAAAAAAAAUUGAAUACAUUAUUCAUAUAACAAAAAAGAAUUUAUAGUUCAAUAGUAACAAUGUUAUUUGAUACUUUUAAAGUAUUGAUUCAAAUCUCAAUAGCCACAUUAUCUUUUUUUAAAAUAUUUUAUGUAAAUUAUUUAGAAAAAUGAUACUUUCAUGCAUUUAAAAUAAAUAAUUUAUUAUUAUUAUUAUUUAGAAUUUAAAAUAAAUAAUUUAUUAGAAACGUGGGGCGUGAAAAUUUAAGUCUCAAAUAGUAUUUGAGACUUGAGAAGAUCGGGCACCAAGCUGGGAGUUUAGAUGAAGCGUUCAACAGUUACGGCCCAUGGGCUUAAAUUCUGUAUAUCAGCCUUUGAGCCUAAUACGAUCCAUGUUGAAUAGUUGAAGAGUGGCGCUAUUGGCAGGCCGUUGUUAAUUUGAUGAACCAUUAUACUAAGAGAACCCCGAUUCGAAAUUUUUAAAGGUUAUGUUAUGUCAAAGAAAACUCACAGUAAUUCCAUUUAUAGCCUUUGUUUAACUUUCUUUUUUUCUGUUCCCUUUCAAGAAGCCCCAUUAGCCGAAUUGAGAACAAAUAGUUCACCCUUAAAUCUUCUUAUCUUAAUUUAUUCUAAGUUUGUUUUUUUUCCCAAAAAAAAAAAAAAAAUCUUGAUUUCUUCUGAAUAUGUUUAUAUCUUUUUGAAAGUAGAAAUAAAAUCCAAUCCUAUAUUAUUAUUUAAAUUUAAAAGAAAUAGCUUUCUUGUUAUUCAACAAAACACCUAAUUGGCUUGACAAAUUCUACCGGCAACCUCAUUAGUAACACAUCCUACUUUACUAAGUUAUCUCAUGGGACCGCAUGUUACAGAUGACGUAUCGCAUAAUUAAAUCUGUAAUACCCGGCCAACUCUCUUAUAUAUGCCACUUUAGCUGGCCUCUCACUUCAACAUCAUUAGUUUAUUGCCAUAGAUCCUCACCUCUUGGAACCUCCAUGAAAGUUGAAUUUGUCACCGAUCUUACAAAAUAGUAGUUUUAAAAUAAAUUUAAAAAAAUGUAAUUUCCCCUAAUUUUCAAUUCUUUUUCUUUUGUUUUAGAAAACAAUCUACAAGUUUUGAGUUGAUAAGAGCUUGAAAGGAAUAUAUACCUUCUAUUGCUUUUUCCUCUUUUCCUUCAACUUCAUCAUUAAGCUGAAAAGAAUCUAAUAAAUGAAAUAUCAUUGGAGCUUCCGUAAAGCCAGUCGUUUAAUUAUAUAUAUGUUUGCCUGAAAUCUUUAUACUGUUUCUAUUUUGCGAUCUCUUUCUCUCUUCCUUUCUUUAACGUAUUUUUCAUUACAUCGCUACCCUAGUUGGUAUUUUACCUCACCUUCAUCAAUUGAGCAAUCGCUUUCUGACCCAACCAAUGUGGAAAGAAUAUGGCCACUAUUCAAGAUUCCAACUUUAUUAUGCCCAACAGGUUAUAAUAUUUGCAAAGACCCCACCAUGCUUGAAAGAAUAUCCGCCAUUUCGCGAAGGCUUGGAACUAGUUCCUCCUAAACUACUUCCUUUUGGCUCCACGUUUCGGAUAUGUCAUGUGAUACACAACAAAAAAGAAAGUAUAAAUGGAUAAAAGAAAUUAUAAAUAGAAUAUGGUGUGCCUCUCACUCUGCACUAAUGAUCAAUUCAUUUGUAUAUUAUCUAUUAAUUUCUCGUGCUACAGCAUAUAUACUUCGGUACAUACUAAUACUUGUCUGUAAUUUGCUGCUCAGCCUGCUCUUAUCUCCUAUUAGCUUGAACGAUUGUGCCCAGCUGGCCCACCAGGAAUAGAGUUCAAACCCAACAAUAUUCUCAGCAAACAGAUUGCACAGUUCUUGAUCUUUUUUUUUUUCCCAAUUUUUAAAUUUCUUCCCCUGCUAUGGUACUCAAUGGCAAACUAGUUGAAUCAGAAACUUAUUCAUCACUAGGUUUAGUUGAUUCUCCAGGUAAAAAAAGUUCAUCAACUCCUCGAGUCUUGUCGAUUCUUUCAUCAGUUCUUGAGAGAUCAAUCCAGAAAAAUGAAUCUUCAUCGAAGGCAUCAAAAAAGAAGGAAGUUGUCACGAUAUUUCAUUGUUCAAAAGCACCAAGUUUGAGCAUUAGACAAUAUAUUGAACGCAUAUUCAAGUACUCCAGGUGCAGCCCUUCUUGCUUUAUUGUUGCAUACAUAUAUCUUGAUCGGUUCCUUCAACGAAUCAACGGUUGCCUUACGAGACUCAACGUUCAUCACCUUCUGAUCACGAGCUUUCUAGUGGCUGCAAAGUUUGUUGAUGAUGAGUAAGAACUUGAUAUCUUAACAACCCAGUUUGCUGCUUUGAAUCAAACCUUUCGUUUUAACUUUUUGACCACUGAACGUGCUUGUAGGUGCUAUAACAAUGCGUAUUAUGCAAAAAUAGGGGGGAUAAGCACUGCAGAAAUGAACAAACUUGAGAUGAAUUUCUUGUUUACUCUGGAGUUUAAGCUUCAUGUGACCACAGAGGUUUUCGCGAAGUACUGUUCGCAGCUAGACAUGGAAGGAGCAGCAGCCGAAGAGUGGUGGGUUAGCCCGAUGAUUGAAGCAUUAGGAAUUAAACUUGGCCGGCUGAACAGAGACGGCAAAAUCUGACGGCAGGUUACAACUGCAGCGUCACUUCACGAUGGCCAACGGCAUACUGUGAUGAUUGAUAUGGUUCUGGCUCAAUCCAGAUUCCAGACACCACCAAACUAACUGGAAAUUUAUAGGUGCCCAAUCUCCCUGAGGAUUACAAGUAAUUUGUGGCUAGUUCCAUAACAGGGGAGGGGAAAAUUGUAUGACAAUAAAUUGUCACUGCACGUUAUGGUAAAAUGCAUUUUGUUCUUAUCAUCUAACAUUAGAGGUGUUCAGAAUUCAAUCCGAUCCAUUCAAUUCGUCUGAUCCGUAGAAAUCUGAUCUGUAAAAAUCCAAUCCGUGGAUUGGUGGAUUUGAUUGAAAAUUUGAUAAUCCGCAAUUGGUGGAUUAGAUAUAGAUCUACAUCAGUAAAUCCGUAAAAAUCCGCGAAUCCGUAAAAAAAUAAAAGCAUCUAUUUUAUUAAAAAAUAAAACUGAUAAAUAUGACAUUAGUACGUACUAAAAAAAAAAUUAAAAUAUAAUUACAUUAACACUAUAUUAUAUCUUAUCCGAUAAUAAUUUAAAAUAAAAAAUAAUUAAAUAAACAAAUAUAUCUUCCUAAAUAGUUAAUUUCUAUAUACUGGUCUAAAUAAAUGAGAUUUUUUUUUUCGGUGUGUUAUAUUUUAAAACUUUAAAUGUAUUUUCUAGUUUUAUUUAAACAAUUAAUUUAUUUAAAUCUUAUUUAAUUUUAAAUUUGAUCGGCAGUAAAAUUAUUUUAUAUUAAUUUUUUAUUUAAUUAGGUCGUGAAUUGGAUAGAAUUAAAAAUAUUCAGUCCGCAAACCAAUCCGCAAAAUGAUGGAUUGGAUAUGGAUUGAGUCAAAUCUGCAUCCAAUCCGCAGACGUAUGGAUUGGAUUUGGAUUAAAUUUCACCAAUUCGUAGAUUGGAUUGGAUUUUGAUUAAAUUUCACCAAUCUGUGGAUUGGAUUGGAUUGAAAAAUUAUAAUCCGUGAAAUUAUGGAUCAAAUAUGGAUUGAUAUCCGAUCCGUAAAAUUCGACCCGCGAACUCCCCUAUCUAACAUGUUCCGAUAACCAUGACACAUUGGAAAAAAAAGUUUGAAAAUCAGAAAACGAGCUCUUUUUUCAAAUUAGAAAGAUUAAAGAGAAAGAAAAGAAUAUGACAAAGGGCAUCAAUUUUAAAAAAUUGGAAAAAUCUGUACCAAAAUAUCUUAUUGCACAAUUCCUGCACAAUAACGUGUUCCAUUGUACAUUAACUCAUGUUCUAGUAUUGGAACACUUUCCCAAACUAGCUUACUUGAUAGAACACUUCCAAACGAUAGAAAAAAAGUUGAAGAGUAGUGACAUGACAUUUAAAAUAAAAUUAAUCAAAUUCUUUACAAAGAAGAGACAUCUGAGGAAUCCCAAUGAAUUGGCAGAAUCAGCUGUAUCUGAGUACGUGGCUAGUUGAUAGACAAAUGUUCAGCCUCUAUGAUGAGGAAGAAUUCUUCCUUGCCGAGUACUCACGGUGAGCUGCCAGCCCGACAAUUGUAACGGCUGCUCCGACUGACAAAUCAGUUUGAAAAAUUACAUGAUAUAAUAGAUAGAGCUCAGUAUCAUGCCUAACAAAUCAGUUUGAAAUAAUAAAAAUGAUCAAUCACAUAAUGAUUUUAUGAUAUCAAUUGAACAUCAGAAAAUGAAUAGUAGAGAGCAGUAAAGGAGCAUAAUGAAUCCUGUGCUCUGAUCAGUUUACAGGACUGUCUGUCUUCCCAUCUUCGAUACAGCAAGGGACUUACCGAGCUGAAAACAUUUAUUAUUUUGCUGAAAAUAGAAAGUCUCGUUCAGUGCAGAACUCAGAGGAUUUGACAUACAUAUGACCAUCCACCUGAUGACGCCAUAGAUGCUUAUUUUGUAUCAAAAUUAACAUAUUUCGAAGUAAUUAAUUAGUUAUCUUGUCUGUAAAUUCGAGAUAUUAAAAAAAUACUGCAUAUUCCUGACAUGAGCAUAAUAUAAAAUCUGAUUAAAACUUUUUCUACUUCAUAGUUAAUUAAUUAAAUUCCUCCACGACAUGAAGUGAGAUGUACUUGAAAUCUAACGCCCUUAAACAAGUUAAUUCACCAAAUGACACAUUUUGGAUAAAUCCCCUUUCUGCUAUUAUGCACGAACCAAUUUUACGGAAACUACCAAGUAGCAAUUUACAGGAUUGAUGAGCAGAAGCGAACCCAGUAACUUCAAAGCAAGAAACAACAAUGUCCAAGCCACCAACACAAUCAAACAUCAACAAUUUAAAGAAAAAUGAUUAAUGAGAUAGAAUUAGUGUUGGCCAAAAUCCAUCUCUAUGUUUUUCACACAGUGGGAAUUGUCGGGAGGAAAAUUAAUUGCUUUCUUGUUCUAAAGCAGAUACUAUCUGUGAAUGAUAUAACUCACUACCUCACUUCAUGCAAGCUUUGAUGUAUUAUUCCUUCUAUCAAUAUAUCCACUGCUAAUUGUUUUAUCAAAAACUUGGCAUGCUGAAGUGAACCCAAUAACUUCUAGCUAGAAGCAACAAUGUCCAAUUAAACCGCUAGUACAAUCAAUCAAACAAUAAGGAAAGGAUCAACAACACAAAAAGCACACGCAAGGCACAAAGAUUGACAUGAUAUGUCCACGGGUGUUGAUGCUGAUAUCCACUAUACAUAUGAGCGGACCCAAUCCCUUCUAAAAGAGUUAAAUAAAAAAAAAAAAUGGACAUACUUUUCAUAUAACAAAAGACUUACAGUUCAAUGGUAAGAGUAUUAUUUGAUGGUUUUAAAUUCUUGGUUCAAAUCUCAAAGAGCACAUUAUUUUAUUUUUUAGAAUAUUUUAUGGAAACUACUUAGAAAAAUUAUACUUUCACGCAUUUAAAAUAAAUAAUUUAUUACUAUUAUUAAAAAAAAAGUAAUGGAAUUUGAGUUUAUGAAACUUAAAUGUAUUCAAAUGAACAUUAAAAAAAAGCACCCCAAAUUAAAUAAAAUUUUUUGAACUAAACCCCCCUAAUUUAAGUUUCUAGGUCCGCCACUCACUAUACGUGUGAUGAAAACAAGUGUGUAUAUAUAAAGAACACCACCUGUCUCCUCACAAUAACCCUCUAGAAUACAAGCACAAAUAAAAAUGAGGCAAUUCCUGCUCUGCUCUGCCCUCACGUGCGUAAUUCCUCUGCUAAGAAAUAUUGCCUUAAAAUCUCGGUAGCAUAUGCAUGCUUGCCCAGCAAAUGAGUAGAUAUAUAAAAUGAUCAACCACAAGAAAUCAGCAAAUCAGUGGUUUCGUGAAUUUGUAAUCGACAUCAAAAUAUGAAGAGUACAGAGCAAUGGGAAAAAGUAAUUAACUAAACAAAGAACUUUAAAUCCAAAUAAGAUAAUUAACGUAUGAAAGGAGGGUUGAAGCCCACCUUAAAAGCUCCUGUCUAUCAAGGCCAAUAAAUCUCCUGCUAUCUGUUUGGUUAGAUCUUUAUCUAUUUCUAUACACCUUUUACUCUACUCUGUUGUUCAACCUUCCUUGGUUUUAUGUAUCUAUUUUAUGUGUAUUGAGAAGGCUAGUUACUAGGCGUCACCUCUUCUCUUUAAAAGAUGAAGUUUUGAGAAAAGGAAAGAAAGACACCCACAGACUCCCACGGCCAAUGACCUUGUCAUAUUUUGCAUAACAAAGUUGGACAUUAAUAAUAGUCACUGUCUUCAACCUGCUAACCAAAUCCAAGGCAAAGGUGGUCUUCCCGAUUGAGUAAGUAAGCUCUGAAAAGUCAUUACCCAGCUUAAAAGCCAAAUGAAGGUGGACUUGUGAUUGGUGACAUCAACAUAAUUUGAUCAGCCGAAUGACUACCAAAUGAAAAAGCAACAUAAACUUAACAUAACUGUUAGAAUUAAUCGAAGACACAUAUAUUUGUACCAAUCUUCACACCUUUAGCAUUAAAAAAAUUAAAAGUAUAAAUGUGAGGUUUUACAAUUAAAAUAUCAAAUAGUGGCAAAUUGAGCGCCCAAAAAAUGCGCCAAAUAAAAAUUAUUCAAAAUUCCUCUCUUCAAUCUCCUUUUUAUUUUAUGUACCGCUGAAAUAAAAUUAAUACAAAAACAUUCUGAAAUUGAAAGCUUGGAACGAAUCUCACGCCUCUCGCCUUCUCUUUCUCGCAUUUCGCCUUCCACUUUGGCUCUUCGGCUCUCUCUCUCUCUCUCUCAAAGUGACGUAAAAAAAUUAUUUUUCUUGUUCUAGUCCUCACAAAUAAGCCGUUUACUUUACUUUGUUCUUUGUUUAUUAUAAAUUUAAUCACGCUUUCUACAUUAUAAUUUACGGUCUCUGUUUACUUUUAUUAAAAAUUAUGAUAUUUAUGAAUAAUAAUAUUCGCUUGUUUGCAUAAUUGUCUUCGAUAUUGACUGUGUUUACAAGAUUUUUUUGGCUGCAAUCUUUCUUAUUGAGAUUGUUUAAUUAGUCGCGAUUGCAAUUUUUACAAGAUUUAAUGAAUGUUAAAAUUUAAAUAACAAUUUAAAAUUUGUACACCAGGUGUUUGUUAUAAUGCCAUGUGUUAUUUUCAAUAGAUUUUUUUUUAACAUGUAGUAUAGGCUUGACAAUGUUUUUUAAUUUUUUUUUUCCAAGAUGCAGAAUAAAACAAGGACUCGACAAGCUUACAGAAUCUGUAAGGUACAGACUGCAGCAUCAGCCGUUGGAUGUGGUUGGGUGUGGAGUGAGAAACUAAACAAUAGAAAAUCGGAUGGUGGGAUGACGGGAGAUGUUUGUUACAGAAUCUGUACCAUAGACAGGUCCAUAAAACAAAUGGUUAAGAGUGUUUCGAUACAAAUUUUCAAAUUAGCGCAUAUGAUAAUUUAAAAGUAAUUGAUUUCCCAAGAGUGAAAUUAUGUUACUUCAUAUCAAAGCAAGUUAUGUUGUCAGCUAAUAUUAUGAGUCAGUUUAACAAUUUACCACACAAAUAAAAAAGUUGUUAAGUAUUACAUAUAAAUAUACAUGUUGUAAUUUAAUCUCAAAGUAGGAAUGCACAUAGGGUGUGUUUGGUGUGUGGUAUUGCAUACAUGUUCCCGCAUUAGCUUGUCUUUUUUUUUUUUUACUUUAACUUUUAGUUUUACUUAAUAAUAAAAAAAAUGGAUAAAUAUAUAAUUUUUAAUUUUUAAUAUAAUAUUAUUUUUAAUUUUUAAUUUUUACAUCAUAAUUUAUUAAUAAAUUUAUAAUUUAAUAUGAUUAAUAAUAAAUACUUAAAAGUAUAUAAAAUAUAAUAUAAUAUUAUACUAUUUAAUUAUUGUAAUAUUAAUAUAUAAAAUUUAAUAUUUUUAAAUAAUAUAAUAUAACAAAUAAUAUAUAUUUAAAUACGAAUGAAUUUCAAUAAUAUUAAUCUAAAAUUAAUAAUAACAUAAAUAAUAAUAUAAAAUAUUAGCACAAUUCAUUUUAUAAUUAAAUUUAUAAAAUUUAAGACCUCUAUAUUUAGUUUUUUUUAAGUACUAAUAAAUAUUAUUUUAUAAAUAUAUAAUAUAAUUAAUCAUAAAAAAAUUAAUACAAUACAGUGCAACACCAAACAUAGUAUAACUAAAAAUUAAUACAAUACAGUGCAGCAUCAAACAUUGUACAACAUUGUUAUAAUAUAGUAUUAGUGCAAUACAGCAUAAUACAAUACACCAGCAUAAAAAUAAUGCAAUACAACAUAAUACAAUACAGUGUGCCAAACGCACCCAUAAAGUGUUAGCAAAAUAAAAUAAAAAAUUUGUUGAGUAUUGCAUACUAAUAAUUCUCAUGAUGAAAUUAGAAUAGGUUAAUUGGCCUAAACCUAAAUACUUUGUAAUAUUUACUUUUAAAAGACCUAUGGCAUUAGAUUCAACUUGCUAAGAUAUUGGAGAAGUGUUGAUGCAAUUUUCUGUCAUGCCUGCGGAUUCAACUUGCUAAGAUUUUGGCUAUGCCUUCAGGUUCAAGCAUUGUUGCUGAUUAUGUGAGCUGUUGAGAUUUUAGUAUUGAGCAUGUCUUUAGAUUCAAUUUCAGCAAAUGUAAUUGUCCCUUUUAAAGUGAUGUAAUUGGCUUCGGGAGAGGAUUGUAAUCUCCAAUGAUUUAUGGUUCUGGCAAAAAGAAAUUUUCUUUACGUUAACUUGCGACAAAAUGUAUGUAAUUUUUUAUGAUAUCAGCAAAUAUUUAAUAACAGAAUAGUUGAAAUAUUUUUAAAUUGCAUUGUGGUUUUUAAAAAUAUUUAAUGGAUAAAAAUGAUUUUAUAAUCGUAAGGGAACUACAAAAAUAAGGGUUGUUGGUAAUUGAAAAGAACAAAUUAAUUAUUUUAAGAUUAAUAAUAAUAAUAAUAUUACCUAAAUUUUUGACAUAAAUUAAGCUGAAAAAAAUGACUCAGCAUAAAAUGUCACAAGCAUAAAACUUAUUUGCCAUCUCAAAUGCCAUGUUUGCAAAUUGAGAUGCCAUGUCAUUUGCCACGUCAGAUUCCAUGUAAAUAAAGAAUUGUAGCACAAUUCCUUGACAGAAAUAUUUUGUCAUUAAUUGUUGAAUUUUCUGUCGCUAUAUUCUUACAAGGACUUUUUGGACGGAAUAAAAUUAUGUCAAUGACAUGAUCUGUGACAAAAUUAUUCUGUCAAAAAACCCAAUUUUGUAGCGGUUCCAAAUAACAAUUUAGUUUCUUUCCUUCUAGUUUUGUCAAUAAUUGAUUCUGUUCAUGGUUAAAAUAAAUUCUUUACUUCUCUAAAAAUGUGCAUAAUUUCCCCACUUAUAAAGUGUCAAGAUAAUUUUGCCUUUUUUUUUUGUUUUUUGUUUUUGAGGACUGAAAAUCAUUAAUUAUUUUCUUAAGUGAUGCCCAUUUGCAAUAUAUAUAUAUACGGUAUCUUGCUAAAUGAUCCCCGUGAUAUGAUCAUGAGUAAGCAUCUACCCUUUCAGAUGAUAUUUGGUUGGAAAAUUGGACAGGAAUAGAGAAAUAAAAGGAGAAACAAAUGGAAUAAUUAGAGAGAGGAAUGAGAUUCUAUUUAUUGUUUUGUUAUAAGUACAAGUACCGGAAAUCAAACAUGAGAAAAUAAUUGAGUGUUUUUUUGUUUACUUAAAAAACACGUAUUUUUGGUAUUUGAUAUUUAAUAGAAAAUUCAAAGUAAAAUCAAAUCCAUUUGUAAUAUAAGUUCGCUUCAUUCAUAAAAUAAACGUAUAGAAUAAAAUUUAUAAAUGUUACUUAUACAAAUGGAUACUACUAUUCAAAAUAAUAAAAAUUUUGCAUUGGAAACAAUUUUGAAAAAAAUAAAUAAAAGUUUUUAAUGGAGAAAGGAAUAGAGCAGGAAAAGUUUGGUAGAACAUGCACCCUAGUUUUGGAAUUAUGCCGUCAGUCAUUUUAUAUAAAAAUAAUAAUAAUAAUAAUUUGAUCAGCCACCAGAGCUUUACUUCAGUGAUUUUCUCAAACGGUCUUCAGAACCUUAUCAUGAUGCAUGUAUAUUCUAAGCUUCAUGACAUCAUUUUAAAAAGUUUUGCUAAGGUAAUUUAAAAUUUGUUUUAUUAAAUGAAUGUUACAUUUACUGGUAUGUUUAAUAGUUUGUGGGUAAUUAUUUAUUUUGUUUUGGAUAAAAAUUUUGCUAUUGAACAAACGAAUAACUGAACUUGACUUAUUUUUUUAUAAAUUUUAUGUUAUGAUCAUUGUAGGUAUGUUAUUUUUAAAUUAUGACCUCAUGUAAAAUCAAAAUUUUUAAUUUCACUAUUUUUUAUAGAGUUUGGUUAUGAUAAUCAAAUAAUGCAAUAAACACAUACAAAGGCAAAAGAAUUUACGUGGUUCGACAUAUUAAUUAAUAUGCCUACAUCCACGGGUAAUAAUACCGAUAAUCCACUAUGUAAUGAAAAAUUGUACAAAUAAUAGUAAGCUCUCAGAUGCAAAUAAAACGAAAAGAAACACCAAUCUUAACACUCUAAACGAAUCAACCCCCAGCAGCUCAGCGUCGCAAGAGCUCUUUCUGUCAUGUGCUUUUCCUUAUUCAUUCUCUUUACAAACACGAGGCUCACAAAAAACAAAACAAAACAAAACAAACAAAUUGCUGAAUACUGAAAACAUACAUAGCAGAUUAAAAAAGCACGCGCCGCGCCCGUCCCCCAAUUCCUUCUCUGCUACGCCAUUUACGUAAUUCCUUUUUGGCUGAAAAAUAUUGCUUUCUCCAACAAAACAAAUGAAUCAGUUAGACAAAUAUAUCUAAUUAUAAUGGUUUGGUGACGUAAUUAUAUCUAAUCAUAAUUAUAUAUAUAUAUAUAAAUAACUGGACAUGCAUCAGCAAAUUAAUGAAGAAGAGUAGAGAGCAAAUGAGAAGGAAAGCAUAUGCAAUUACUAACCAGAGUUAAUUUGAAUCCUUUCCCUGUUGGCUCUGUUCACUGUUGGACUAGACGUUUCAUCUCAUGCACUCUCACGUCUGUCUGUUUUCGAUCCGCUCUUAAUUAAUAUUUUGUUAAUUAAUUGGCUGAAAAUGAAAAGUUUCUUUAAUAUUUCAUUAAGCAGAGAGCAAAGGAAUUGACGACACACUUAUAAUAAUUAAUUUCUAAAUUGGAUUAAAAAAUAUAACAACUAAUUAAUUUUUUUUUAAGUAACAUAGGAGCUCUAGAAAGAAAGAAGUUACCCGUGGCGGUGGGUGAUUGUAAUUUGUAAUUGCAGCCGCACGCACUUCACUCAAUCUCGAUGUUGGGAAUGUGGCGGAUCUUAGGCCAGUCCUCUCCUGUCUCCUUUCUGUAACGUUCUUCUAAAAUAGGACAUUGCCAAAUCGACAAUUUCUGGAGCGUUGUCUUCUGAAGAAGGUGAUCGGGCAGUGCUUUUAAUUUACGGCAAUUCCAAAUAGUCAAGGAAGAAAGACGUGGCAUGAUUAUGAUUUCUCCCUUUAUUGCAGUCACGAAAUCCCACUCUUCCAGUUCUCUCAUACCCCAAAAUCUGAGCAGUUUCAAUUUGGGAAAGGCAAUAACUGAGGAGCCAUCCGUAUCACUUUCUACUCCCAAAAAUUCAUUACCCACUCUUUUCACACUAUCCAUUCCUGCAAUAUAAAGAUCUUCAAGAGAUGGCAAUUUUCCCAAAGGAGGCAAAUGCUCGCAAUUUCUGGACCCGAAAAUACUGAAAACCCUUAAAUUGGUUAGUGACAUGAUCCAAUUUCUGGGAACAACAUUCCUCCUCCCUCUGUAUUCAGAAAUCUGUAAUUCCUUUAAAUUAGGAGGUGGUCCCAAGGCUUCAAGAAGCCGUUCAUCUUCAUCCUCCUCAUUCUCCCUCCUCCCAGCUUGUUCUUCAUCUCCACCUCUUAUAUGAUCAAAAUCAAGUUCCAAAUCAAAGAGAUAUUUCUUUUUCUCAAGUUCAGCCCUUCUAGCCUCCCCCGCAUCUGACACACCACCCAGCCCACGUAUUCUACAUUGUCGACGGAGGUUAAGCUUUUUAAGAGACCCAAGGCUACAUGCUCUGUCAUACCCUCCGCCCACAACAAACUCUGUCACUUCCCGAAGCCUGAUUAAUUCCCCAAUCCCUACCGGCAAGUAUCUUAAAGAAUUAGUGAAAUCAUUGUGUAAAUACAUCAGCUUUCUUAACCUCCCAAUCCCUCGAGGUAAUUCUCUAAGAUUUUCACAAUGAUCAACGUUUAAACGUUCUAAAUUAUACAACUCACACAACGCCUCAGGUAAUCUUUCUAUCUCCUCUUG